rnacentral:snRNA from 1 species
GAAUGUGAGGGCGAUCUGGCUGCGACAUCUGUCACCCCACUGAUCUCCAGGGUUGAUUCGGCUGAUCUGGCUGGCUAGGCGGGUGUCCCCUUCUUCCCUCAAUGAUCCAUGUGCGUUCUUUCCGAAGCUGCGCGCUCGGUUGAAGAGGACGACCACCCCGAUAGAGGAGGACCGUUCCUCGGUCAGGGGUGUACGAGUAGCUGCGCUCCCCUGCUAGAACCUCCAAACAAGCUCUCAAGUUACGUAAUUUAAUUUCAUAAAAUACUGUGUCAAUAAAACCUUAGAAGGUUCAGGAUGUUUU